rnacentral:rRNA from 1 species
GUCGAGAAUCUUUGGCAAUGCGCGAAAGCGUGACCAAGCGACGCCGCGUGGAGGAUGAAGGCCUUCGGGUUGUAAACUCCUGUCACCUGGAAAGAAAUCUAUCAUGGUUAAUACCCAAGUAGUUGACGUUACCGGGAGAGGAAGCCACGGCUAACUCUGUGCCAGCAGCCGCGGUAAUACAGAGAUGGCGAGCGUUGUUCGGAAUUACUGGGCAUAAAGGGUGCGUAGGCGGUCUAGAAAGUCAGAGGUGAAAUCCCUCCGCUCAACGGAGGAACUGCUUUUGAUACUAUUAGACUUGAGGGCUGGAGGGGAGUGUGGAAUUCCUGGUGGAGCGGUGAAAUGCGUAGAUAUCAGGAGGAACGCCGGUGGCGAAAGCGACACUCUGGCCAGCUUCUGACGCUGAGGUACGAAAGCUAGGGGAGCAAACGGG